UUGAAUAUAUAUAUAUAUAUUAUAUAUAACUUCUCACGAAGAACCAUUGCCAUGCUCUCAUGCUUUAUUUCUCUAGAAUUGUUGAGGAGAAUGGAAUCUGGUUUGAGAUUGUUCAUAUGAAUAAAUUCAAACAGAGAAUCUUUCAUCCGAAUGAUCUCGGACCAGGCUUCAUUCUCGCCAGCUCUUCAAUUAACUUAGCAUGCUCUCAUUCACCUAGUUCAUAACAAAUUUAAAAAGAAGGCCAACUUUCUUUUUCUUCGCACACAACAGAUCCUCCAACAUCUCUUUUUUCCCUCCACAUCAUUCACUGUUGGCCACCCUUCCGUCUCCCCUGCCGUUUAUCUUCGUCAAUCGUCGCAGACAUGCCGUACGUCCAAUCGCCGGUCUUCAUCAUGUGAAUCACCGCCAAUAAAUCUGUUUCUCUCUCUGUUUUUCCCUCUUUCCUUGUUCCAGCCGAGGAAUAAAAGCAUGGGUUUCUUAGGGAUCUUUUUUUUAAAUAUUGUACUUCAAAAAACUAUUUAGAAAAGUAUAGUUUACAAAAUAUUUAUGGAAAUAUGGUUGUUUUUUUUGUAAGAGAGAUCUGAAUGAAAAAAAAAAAAGAAAAAAAAAAAUUGGCUGCUGCCGUCAGUCCUGCCGAUUUUGUGGCAGGUGGUGAGGAUAGGUUGUGGCAGGCGCAAACUUGCGACCUA